rnacentral:lncRNA from 13 species
GUCACAGUGGGAGGUGAUGAGACAGUGGCUAUACUGUGGAUCACAGUGGGAGUGAGUGAAAAUUCUUUCUGAUCUUUUGACGUGUUGGUGGGAAAGAAUCAAACCACCAGCUCAGGGGCUGCAUACUCACGGAAGCCUCUGGCAGGAGUCUGCAGUCGGGGUACUGACUGGCAACAUUCAUCACAGUUCACUGCCGUGCUCUGGAGCUGGCUGGUCUUUGAAGGACACAUCUGUUGAGUCUCCCAAGUAAAGAUCCCGGAAGGACUGGAGAAUCAUUACGUUGGACACCUUCCUUGGAGCU